UCCAUAAAAACAUGACCUCCCUCACGGCAAUUCCAGCAUACUAACUGCCUGGUUUGUUGUUGCUGGUUAAAGCGAAUAGCAGCCACUUCUUCUACAUCCGGCUGAAAAUCUGUCUCCAAUCUACCAUAUUCGCCAACAUACAUUUCAUUUACGUGUCUAGCGGGGCGCGAAUUCAUUUGGAUUGGCCUUUGUUCUCUACGUGGAAAGUUACGUUCUGCCUCCUUACACUCUGUUCGAAGCAUCUCGACCGUAGAAAUAGACAUGGGCUGGGCCAUAUUAUGAAAAUAAACGUCUAUUGGCUCAUUUACCACCUGCUUCCUGUCGACUAACUCUCUCAUUGCUUCGAAAGUGGAUUUAGUUGUCCUAUAUUGACACAUUAAUGCCUCUCUUAAAUGGGACCAGCUGGAAAAAUUCUUCAGCCUCUGAGCAUACCAAAACCACUCCAAAGCUGGACCGGAAACUAACAAUCUAAAAUCCCGUAGAACUUCCUCCCAAGGUAUACCAUACUGGGUCUGCAAACAUUCUAACCGGAAGAUAAAUUCCUCAACAGUCAAUCGUUAAUUCGGAAAAGAAUUGUUACUAUUGGCGGAAGGCAUCGUAAAUCUAGGCCUAUUAGUGGACGAGGUACUGGACGCGUCAUUUCGUGUGUCAACUCCAGUAUUACCACCGACAGAUGAAUUGUCAUUGGCUUCGGUCCUCUGUAACGCCAUAGCCGGGGCCCUAUCUUGAAUCACCAUGUUGGACAAGUCCCUCACUGUUCUGGCUAGUGACUCCACGGUCCUCCUGACAUCACGCAACUCAUUGCCUAUCAUAGCCUUCAUAGUUUCCUCGAAAGACCGAUUUGCUGGCAUUAAACCUGCUGCUUCAGCGUUUGAAGUAUUAUUUGGCCCCUGUUGCAUUGCCUCACUAGUGGAAGGUGGGACAGGGACACCGUUUGAUGGACCGGGUCGAGAUAUAAUACUGCCAGACAAAUCCCGAAUCUGACCGUUGCCUAUAUCCGUUGGAUUCCCUGAAUUAAUCAUUUUCGUUCUUUUAGGGUCUAUAUUCGUUACAGUAUUGUUCAGAUCUGACUCUGUCCUAUUUCUUUUAGAUCUUGAACGUGACCUUGUAUUCAUAACACGAUGUGUGUAAA